rnacentral:rRNA from 1 species
GAACGUCGUGAGACAGUUCGGUCCAUAUCCGGUGUAGGCGUUAGAGUAUUGAAAGGAUUUCUCCUUAGUACGAGAGGACCGGGAGAGACGCACCGCUGGUGUAUCAGUUAUUGUGCCAACAGUAAACGCUGAGUAGCCAAGUGCGGAACGGAUAACCGCUGAAAGCAUCUAAGUGGGAAGCCAACCUUAAGAUGAGUACUCUCACCGUUUUAAACGGUUAAGGUCACGGCAAGACUAGCCGUUAUAUAGGCGUUAAGUGUAAGUAUAGUAAUAUAUUCAGCUGAAACGUACUAACAGACCGAGGGUUUG